rnacentral:rRNA from 1 species
GACGAACGCUGGCGGCGUGCUUAAUACAUGCAAGUCGAACGGAAAGGCGCUGCUUUUGUUGGGUUCUCGAGUGGCGAACGGGGGAGUAACACGUGAGUAACCUUCCCUUUACGUUUGGAUAACUUCAGGGAACUGGGGCUAAUACCGGAUAGGAGCUCCUGCUCCAUGGGGGGGGUUGGAAAGGUUCGGCGUGUGGGGAUUGACUCGCGGCUUAUCAGCUUGUUGGUGAGGUAGUGGCGUACCAAGGGUUUGACGGGUAGCCGGCCUGAGAGGGUGAACGGCGACAUUGGGCCUGAGAUACGGCGCAGAAGGCUACGGGCGGCAGCAGUGGAGAACAUUGCAGAAUAGGGGGAAGCCUGAUGCAGAAACGCCGCGUGCGGGAUGACGGCCUUCGGGUUGUGAACCGCUUUCGAAUGUGACGAAGCGUGAGUGACGGUAAUGAGUCAGGAAGCAACGGCUAACUACGUG